AUACUAGACCUCAGAUGCAUUAGAUACAUGCAAAGCCAAAUGGAAUCUUAUUAUUUUUAUGAAAUAUUUUCUUCUUUCUUUCACACUUUUAGUUGUUUAACUGAAUGAAUGAAUAGUAGAAAAGCAGUAGGAUAUGUUAAUCAGUAAUCACCACCGAAGUAAGUUUGAAAUAUGAUCUGGCUACUAAGAAAAAGAAGAAGAGUAGAAUAUGCACAAUGGUUUCUUUGGGAGAACCUGGAACGUGACCGUAAUGGUGCAUAGAAUGUUAGGAGACGCAUGAUAUAUGAUCAGAAAUGAGUACUAAACAACUUGGUUUAUGCAGAACGAUGAGUUACGUGAAUCUGCUAGGUGACUUUUGCUGUCCAUUGCUGAACAGUGUGUCAUGAUCGAAAUAGCAAAGGCACGAAGGGUAUGAUUUGCCUUCUG